UCAAAUAUUUUCUGCUGUAACUAUUUCAGUAUAUCUAUAUAAUGUUGAAUGGUGAUGUAAACCAGAAUCUUCAAAAAUACCAACUUAUCUUAUGAAUUUGAAGAAAAACAAAAAUUGCGAAAAAGUUAUUAAUUUAUUGCUUGAUAAAUUUCAGGCGCCUCUAGAAUUCGUCUACUUCUCCAGGUGGCUUGCUGGACGAUUACUGGAGAGAGACGACCUGCAAGGAAUAAGGUUAUAUUUGAAAACCAUUUUACGCCAAGAUAAGGAAACAAAACACCGGAGAGGUUAGAAUGUCCGGUGACACUCUUCUUAUGCAAGAUGCUGCGGGAGAGAAGGUUGGAAAAUUUAUACAUCUCGUAGCAAUAUUCCACUUACUCCAACUAAAGUCACACUCUGAAAGAAGAAAAAAUUCACAUCCAUUUUUCUCUUUUACUAAUUAUUUGCAGCAAAUAGAAAAAUAAGUUGGGAGGAAGAUUACUUUUCCAUAAUAAAUUUUCAGGCUCAUGCCUCAAAAAAAUUGAAUAUCCGGUCAGGAUGGAUAAAUAAAGCUUACGUGACGAAGCUCGAUUUCUCCUCUCAUAUUCUCUUUUGUCACUCUUGACUCGUAACUUGGAUCUAUCUUUGAAUUUCGGUCUAUAAUUGAAAAUAUGGAACCCGCCGCACUUCUUGCCUUGGAGGAAUCUGGAGUUAAGGAGCUCGAUUGUGAAAUUCCUACAGCAGCCAUGCUUAAAGCAAGGAAUACCUGCAAACCAAAAUGAUAGGCCAACAUUAGUGAAACAUUCUACCAUUUCGAACAUCUUUCUAGAAAAUAUCUUGACAAAGAAACAUAAAUGCUCACUUGAAAAACAUCUGCGAAAGAUGUCUUCUCGUGCUUGACAAGUUGGACUCCUACAUAGAAACUAGUUGCAUAUACAGAAAAUAACAUGAAAAAGGAUAUUCCGAAUCCUGUUCCACUUAUGACACCUUGUCUGAUUCCUUCCUUAAGAAGGCAUUUCCACUUGUUUUUAUAUAGUUGCAUGACCUUCUCUUCUGCAUAGAAAAAAGAUGCGGGUGGAAACAUAAACAUAGUUGCUUCUUUCUUUGUAGAAGAAAAGGCAUGCAAUUGUACAAAAACAAAUGUGAAGGCCUUCUUAAGGCAAAAAUCAAGGCAAGGUCUCAUAAGUUGAACAUGAUUCAGAAUAUCCUUUUUCAUGCUAUUUUCUGUAUAUGCAACCAGUUUCUAUGUAGGAGCUCAACUCGUCAAGCAAGGGAAGACAUUUUUCUCAUAUGUUUUUCAAGUGAGCAUUUAUGUUUCUUUGUCAAGCUUUUUUUAGAAUGAUAUUCUAAAUGGUAGAAUGGUUCAAUAAUGUUGACCUAUCGUUUUGGUUGGCAUGUAUUCUUUUGCUUUAACCAUGGCUGCUGUAGAAAUUUCACAGUCGAGCUCCUUAGCUCUUGAUUCCUCCAAGACUAAAUGUGCGGUGGAUUCAUAUUUUCAAUUAUAGAUCAAAAUUCAAAGAUAGAUCCAAGUGACGAGUCAGGAACGAUAAUAGAAAAUUUGAGAGGAGACAUCGAUCUUUGUCAUGUAAAGCUUUGUUUGUCCAUUCAGGCUGUAUAUUCAAUUUUUAUGAGACCUGAAUUUGGAAAUCCAAUUUGGAAAGGUAAUUUUCCUCCCAACUUGUUUUUCAAUUUAUUGAAAUAGCUAACAUAAGAGAAAGAUGAAUGAUGAUCUUUGGACUAUACCAGCUACCCAUGUUACUCUGCCUUCACGAGUUCUAAGGGCACACCAAGUGAUUGAGCCUAAGAGAGACGAACGUCUGGAGAUUGUUGAACCCUGACCACCCAAAAGAGAGGUGGUAGAAAGUUAUCCAUUUGAGACUUUAAAUCGUCAGCGGCGGUGGAGGAGACGGGUCUGCACAACGCAUCGGCUUCAAAUUCACGCCUCAAGCACUCUUCCAACCUCCAAUUAGCUCCAAUUAUAGUUUUGCUGAUCGUUUACAAAUUAUGAAACUCUAAUUCAUAUCUCGUUUCUUACGAGAGAUUGGAGAGAUAAUCGCAGUUGCAUCCAUUUCAGCUACCGUGAUUACUCGUUUGCAACACUUGAGAUUUGCACAGUAUUAGGGUUGCAGGAUUUCAACUACUAUGCAUCUAGAUCAGCGGACCAGUCGACUCUUAAGGAAAACCGCAAUGCUUUCUUUAGAAUUCUGUAAACUCGUUUACUCUCAACAUCAGUUCAAAUGCUUUUUUGAAUUUGGUUAUAAAUCGUGCACGUAGUAUUACUUUCCUAUUGUAUAUGCUCUUAAAUGUAUCUUUUUAAUGUCUAACUUAUUGUUAUUUUAGCUCUUGUCAAGUGUUCUAUCUUGCAUAAGAUUCCAUUUUGAUAUUCUAUUUUCAUUUCUUGUGAAAAAAUAGAUUGGGCAGGUAAUAAGGAUACCAACUAUAAAAAUAGGCAACUUUCUUCGUCGUAGCCCAAAUCAUAAAAUCAUUUAUAUUAAAUGGCAUGAGUGAGAUGUUAUAGAAGUUUUAUGCAUCUGAUCAAUUUUGGAAAAAAUAAACUUAUGAUGUCCUUAAUUGGUGGUUGUUUCUGAGUUUUGCUUAUGGUGUUUUCUUAAUGUAUUUUACGCAUAUUAAUAUCCAAAAAUAAACCAAGAAAGUGACCCGAGAAAUAAACCAAAUUAAAGCAGUUUAGUUUUGGUUUAAUUUUAGUUUAUCUUUGGCGUCUUGAUAUUUUCCAAUACAGGGCCUCUUCUAAGGCAAAUGGAACCAAUGUUUCAGCUUGUAUUAAUUAUGUGAUUCUAAAUAAUAUCAAGUGAAACUGAUUUUGCAAAAGGGAAAAGCAACAACGUGGAGCAUAGAAAUGAUAUGAACAUGACAGAAUGGGGUAAACCUCAGGCUCGAAAUCUCUGUUUUCAGACAUGUUAUGGCGGUGGAGACGGAGCAUACUACACUUCUACAAGGACUAGAAGGGCAAGCAGUGAUAGGGUAAAUAACGUUUUUGCUUCUCGGGUUGAGUGAGAAUCUUUUUAAGUUUCGUCUUCUCAUAAUGAUGUGAUCAUCAUCAUGCUUAAGGCGGUUAUCGAGGAGAGCAAGGAAGCAGACAAAACAAAAGUCAAGCAACACAUAGGAUCUCAAGAGGAAUUCAUGAUAAGGUUUACAAAUAAUAUGUAGUUCAUACCAAAUAAUAUUAAAUGCUAAUUCUAUUUGUUAUCUUGAAACACCAUUAUAUUUUAGAACAUCUGUC